UUUUAGCCCCGAUAGAAGCGGUAUCCUUUUUCUAGCUUCUUUAGCUAGGAAAAGAUACAAGCGGAUAGCGGGAAUAGCU
rnacentral:sRNA from 1 species